CACUCCUACGGGAGGCAGCAGUGGGGAAUAUUGCACAAUGGGCGCAAGCCUGAUGCAGCCAUGCCGCGUGUAUGAAGAAGGCCUUCGGGUUGUAAAGUACUUUCAGCGGGGAGGAAGGCGAUAAGGUUAAUAACCUUGUUGAUUGACGUUACCCGCAGAAGAAGCACCGGCUAACUCCGUGCCAGCAGCCGCGGUAAUACGGAGGGUGCAAGCGUUAAUCGGAAUUACUGGGCGUAAAGCGCACGCAGGCGGUCUGUCAAGUCGGAUGUGAAAUCCCCGGGCUCAACCUGGGAACUGCAUUCGAAACUGGCAGGCUAGAGUCUUGUAGAGGGGGGUAGAAUUCCAGGUGUAGCGGUGAAAUGCGUAGAGAUCUGGAGGAAUACCGGUGGCGAAGGCGGCCCCCUGGACAAAGACUGACGCUCAGGUGCGAAAGCGUGGGGAGCAAACAGGAUUAGAAACCCUGGUAGUCCC
rnacentral:rRNA from 1 species